UCUGGUUGAUCCUGCCAGUAGUCAUAUGCUUGUCUCAAAGAUUAAGCCAUGCAUGUCUAAGUAUAAGCAAUUUAUACAGUGAAACUGCGAAUGGCUCAUUAAAUCAGUUAUCGUUUAUUUGAUAGUUCCUUUACUACAUGGUAUAACUGUGGUAAUUCUAGAGCUAAUACAUGCUUAAAAUCUCGACCCUUUGGAAGAGAUGUAUUUAUUAGAUAAAAAAUCAAUGUCUUCGGACUCUUUGAUGAUUCAUAAUAACUUUUCGAAUCGCAUGGCCUUGUGCUGGCGAUGGUUCAUUCAAAUUUCUGCCCUAUCAACUUUCGAUGGUAGGAUAGUGGCCUACCAUGGUUUCAACGGGUAACGGGGAAUAAGGGUUCGAUUCCGGAGAGGGAGCCUGAGAAACGGCUACCACACAUCCAAGGAAGGCAGCAGGCGCGCAAAUUACCCAAUCCUAAUUCAGGGAGGUAGUGACAAUAAAUAACGAUACAGGGCCCAUUCGGGUCUUGUAAUUGGAAUGAGUACAAUGUAAAUACCUUAACGAGGAACAAUUGGAGGGCAAGUCUGGUGCCAGCAGCCGCGGUAAUUCCAGCUCCAAUAGCGUAUAUUAAAGUUGUUGCAGUUAAAAAGCUCGUAGUUGAACUUUGGGCCCGGUUGGCCGGUCCGAUUUUUUCGUGUACUGGAUUUCCAACGGGGCCUUUCCUUCUGGCUAACCUUGAGUCCUUGUGGCUCUUGGCGAACCAGGACUUUUACUUUGAAAAAAUUAGAGUGUUCAAAGCAGGCGUAUUGCUCGAAUAUAUUAGCAUGGAAUAAUAGAAUAGGACGUUUGGUUCUAUUUUGUUGGUUUCUAGGACCAUCGUAAUGAUUAAUAGGGACGGUCGGGGGCAUCAGUAUUCAAUUGUCAGAGGUGAAAUUCUUGGAUUUAUUGAAGACUAACUACUGCGAAAGCAUUUGCCAAGGACGUUUUCAUUAAUCAAGAACGAAAGUUAGGGGAUCGAAGAUGAUCAGAUACCGUCGUAGUCUUAACCAUAAACUAUGCCGACUAGGGAUCGGGUGGUGUUUUUUUAAUGACCCACUCGGCACCUUACGAGAAAUCAAAGUCUUUGGGUUCUGGGGGGAGAGUAUGGUCGCAAGGCUGAAACUUAAAGGAAUUGACGGAAGGGCACCACCAGGAGUGGAGCCUGCGGCUUAAUUUGACUCAACACGGGGAAACUCACCAGGUCCAGACACAAUAAGGAUUGACAGAUUGAGAGCUCUUUCUUGAUUUUGUGGGUGGUGGUGCAUGGCCGUUCUUAGUUGGUGGAGUGAUUUGUCUGCUUAAUUGCGAUAACGAACGAGACCUUAACCUACUAAAUAGUGGUGCUAGCAUUUGCUGGUUAUCCACUUCUUAGAGGGACUAUCGGUUUCAAGCCGAUGGAAGUUUGAGGCAAUAACAGGUCUGUGAUGCCCUUAGACGUUCUGGGCCGCACGCGCGCUACACUGACGGAGCCAGCGAGUCUAACCUUGGCCGAGAGGUCUUGGUAAUCUUGUGAAACUCCGUCGUGCUGGGGAUAGAGCAUUGUAAUUAUUGCUCUUCAACGAGGAAUUCCUAGUAAGCGCAAGUCAUCAGCUUGCGUUGAUUACGUCCCUGCCCUUUGUACACACCGCCCGUCGCUAGUACCGAUUGAAUGGCUUAGUGAGGCCUCAGGAUCUGCUUAGAGAAGGGGGCAACUCCAUCUCAGAGCGGAGAAUUUGGACAAACUUGGUCAUUUAGAGGAACUAAAAGUCGUAACAAGGUUUCCGUAGGUGAACCUGCGGAAG
rnacentral:rRNA from 1 species